rnacentral:rRNA from 1 species
UGCAAGUCGAGCGAGCGGAACCAACAGAUUUACUUCGGUAAUGACGUUGGGAAAGCGAGCGGCGGAUGGGUGAGUAACACGUGGGGAACCUGCCCCUAAGUCUGGGAUACCAUUUGGAAACAGGUGCUAAUACCGGAUAAUAAAGCAGAUCGCACGAUCAGCUUUUGAAAGGCGGCGUAAGCUGUCGCUAAGGGAUGGCCCCGCGGUGCAUUAGCUAGUUGGUAAGGUAACGGCUUACCAAGGCGACGAUGCAUAGCCGAGUUGAGAGACUGAUCGGCCACAUUGGGACUGAGACACGGCCCAAACUCCUACGGGAGGCAGCAGUAGGGAAUCUUCCACAAUGGACGCAAGUCUGAUGGAGCAACGCCGCGUGAGUGAAGAAGGUUUUCGGAUCGUAAAGCUCUGUUGUUGGUGAAGAAGGAUAGAGGUAGUAACUGGCCUUUAUUUGACGGUAAUCAACCAGAAAGUCACGGCUAACUAC